CAAGAAAACAAAUAUGCUGACGGACACAGCCCUACGAAAGUGGAAAACGUCGCAAGGGGCGUUCACCCUUACGUAGAACAAACGUAGAAUCCCAGCGCCUCUUCAGCUCAAGCACGGUGCAGAAACCGAGCGGGAGGACUCAAGAGGAGGAGGUGCCUGGCAGGAUUGAUCUAGUCUGGCAGCAGUGAUCCUCCGAACGGAAGCCACGCCUGAGUCCCAACACGCUGUCCGGAAGCGGCCAGGACCUAGCAGGCUUGAUGGCACGCAGAAAGAAGGGAAUAGUUAAGUGCGCAGCACCCAGAAGCUGCACCAACCUCCACCCCAGCACUACCCAGCCGCCCUUCGCACCCCCUGCACUUCGCCGAGCCAUCGCAAGGGGGGUGGCAGUGACUCGAGGUCUGGGCAGGACUUCUCUGGAGGCAGCCGGUGAAAUGCUGAUGUAAGGGUUUUGUUCCCUGUGUGUAUUUGUUGUAAUUCCAUCGCACAAUGAGAAGACAUCUACAUCCACACGAAGCUAUUGUGAGAAGAAAAGGGAAAGCGAGCAUAAAACCUUUCUGCUGAUGAAUUUCCCAGAAAAUUACCUAUGAGCAGAAUAAAUCUGUAAAACCUGUAUUAACCUUCGUAAAGUGUUGAAAAUAUGCCUUGCAUGGGACAUUCAAAACCUCAGUUACAUUCCCCAGUUGUUAGUGCACAUAUGCUACAUGUUUAUGAGGAAUGUUUAACAUUACCCCCCAAGUCAGUUCUAUGUAUAACCAUUUACCAAAUACUGCUGAUGUGGUUUCUUCAAGGAAGCAUGCUGUGCUGCGCUGUGAUGCAUUGUCAUCUUGCUGCUUGACAAAUAGGUCUGUAAGGAAUUAGAACUGUGUGUGUAGUACCUUUGUGUAACAAGAUGUAAAUUUAAAGAUGAGGAAUGUGUGCAAAUGAUCAUUCGGUGUUUUAAAAAUUAGUACUAUAUCUAAAGCUGUGACUGGUAUGUUUUAACUUUCAUGGCACUGAAUAAAUUAAAAUGAAAAAAAAAAUUCAAAACCUCAGACCAAAAAUAGACAAUGAAAAGGAAGCUAAGAGGUGAGAAUUGCGCAAAUUCAGGAAAGAAUGGAAGAAAAACAUAAAAAAUAAUUAAAAGCCAAGAUUAAAUUACAGAUUCAAGGGAAAGUUUCUCUGAAAUUAUAAUUUUGGAACUGAAAUACGAAGUGUGGAAUUAGGGAAGGAAGACCCAAAAUAAUGAAUGCGAUAUAAUCACAUAUUAAAAGACAGCACUUUGGGGGUGAGAGAGUGCUUGCUUACUCUGCGUGAGAUCCUAGCUCUGAUCCCUGGCCUCAUACAAGAGACUCACUUAAGGACACACAUACAUAUACCCAGAGUGGAGGGAUGAAAAAGAUCUUCUGUGCAAAUGGAGAAACCAGAAGUGACCAGG
rnacentral:lncRNA from 1 species